rnacentral:rRNA from 1 species
UACGUAGGGGGCAAGCGUUGUCCGGAAUUAUUGGGCGUAAAGCGCGCGCAGGCGGCAUCGUAAGCCCAGUGUUUAAGCUCGGAGCUCAACUCCGAUACGCACUGGGAACUGCGAGGCUUGAGUGCAGAAGAGGAAAGUGGAAUUCCACGUGUAGCGGUGAAAUGCGUAGAGAUGUGGAGGAACACCAGUGGCGAAGGCGGCCGGCUGGGGGCGCCCUGACGCUGAGGCGCGAGAGCGUGGGGAGCAAACCGG